GUGAACGCUGGCGGCAGGCCUAACACAUGCAAGUCGAGCGGCAGCGCGGGGGCAACCCUGGCGGCGAGCGGCGGACGGGUGAGGAAAUCGUCGGAAUCUGCCUUUUUGUGGGGGAUAACGUAGGGAAACUUACGCUAAUACCGCAUACGUCCUACGGGAGAAAGUGGGGGACCGCAAGGCCUCACGCAGAAAGAUGAGCCGACGACCGAUUAGCUAGUUGGUGGGGUAAAGGCCCACCAAGGCGACGAUCGGUAGCUGGUCUGAGAGGAUGAUCAGCCACACUGGGACUGAGACACGGCCCAGACUCCUACGGGAGGCAGCAGUGGGGAAUAUUGGACAAUGGGCACAAGCCUGAUCCAGCCAUGCCGCGUGUGUGAAGAAGGCCUUCGGGUUGUAAAGCACUUUUGUCCGGAAAGAAAUCCCUGGAGCUAAUACCUUCGGGGGAUGACGGUACCGGAAGAAUAAGCACCGGCUAACUUCGUG
rnacentral:rRNA from 1 species